rnacentral:snRNA from 1 species
GUUUAUCCCUUCGGAUGUACAUACACUAAAAUUGGAACAAGACAGAGAAGAUUAGCAUGGCACCUGCGAAAGAAUGACAUGCAAAAUCGUGAAGCAUUCAAUAUUUAU